UACGUAGGGUGCAAGCGUUAAUCGGAAUUACUGGGCGUAAAGCGUGCGCAGGCGGUUAUGUAAGACAGUUGUGAAAUCCCCGGGCUCAACCUGGGAAUUGCAUCUGUGACUGCAUAGCUAGAGUACGGUAGAGGGGGAGUAGGUAAUUCGCGUGUAGCAGUGAAAUGCGUAGAUAUGCGGAGGAACACCGAUGGCGAAGGCAAUCCCCUGGGCCUGCACUGACGCUCAUGCACGAAAGCGUGGGGAGC
rnacentral:rRNA from 1 species